AAGCAGGUGGUGAGAAGGUGGAGACCGAGUACGCACAGCUGGAGAACGGGCGCUUCGUGUACCGCAUCCACCCGCUCGCCCAUGUGUGAGUACAUGAUCAACUUCAUCCACAAGCUGAAGCACCUGCCCGAGAAGUACAUGAUGAACAGCGUCCUGGAGAACUUCACCAUCCUGCAGGUGGUCACCAGCCGCGACUCCCAGGAGACCCUGCUCGUCAUUGCUUUUGUCUUCGAAGUCUCCACCAGCGAGCACGGGGCCCAGCACCACGUCUACAAGCUCGUCAAAGACUAGGGUGCCCUCUGCCCCACCACCAGGAUCCAGGACGAGCCUCUUCUCACACACCUGCCUGGCACCCAGGGGUCCAGGAUUGAGGACUCAUCUGCCUGCCAGGCCUCGGGCCCAGGGCCAGGAGGCCUCCCCACCUGCUCCAGCACACACCCCCUGCCACUGUUCUGCGCUUUAACUGUGGGAGAAGGGAGGGGGCUCAGCGGUGGGGCAGCCUGGCUGGGUCGCCAAGCCACCAUCACUUCGGUCUGCCCAGCCUCACUGAAUGGGAGGACACCUUUGGCUCAGGUGUGUGUGGCCACUGGCCCCUCAGGGCUGUGACAGGUGGGUGAUGGAGACUGGAGGGGCGGCGGAGUGCAGAGGCCAGGAAGGAGUGUGGAGCUGGGGUUGCUCUGAGAAGAGAGAGGCCCACACUGUCUUUGCACCUGCCAUGUGCCAGGCCCCAGUGCCUCCUGCCAUCCUCUGACCGGCAAAGCAAUCAUGGGUCUCGGUGUCACAGAUGAGGAGUCUAGGGGGAGGGAUCGGGGCAGAGUUGGAGUUCUCACCGGGGCUGCCUGUCCGGAGCCUCGUUUACACACCUCCCUGCCUCGGACCGGCCCCAGGCUGGGGAGGGGCUCUACACUGAGGGGCGGGGUUGGAGCCCCUGACACGGGGAGCAGCUGCCUCUGACCAGCAGGGAAGGGGAGCAGCAGGUACUCAGCACCUGUUGGGCGCCCUCUGUCAGCCCAGCAUCCAGCCAGGGCCCCGGGAGGGAGCCUCCUGCGCCACUUCCCCUACGCUGCCCUGGCCCAGAUCCUUUGCCAGGCUCCCCAGCAGCCGCCUGACGGGGAAGGCCCCCAGGGGCAGGCCCAGGCUCAGAAGCAGGCUGGAGGGUCAGGUAGGAAGAUGCCAGCCCCUGGGCAGAUCUGUGGCCCGGGCACGAGAGGCCACACAGGCUUCGGUAUUUUCUCUUGCCCAAGUGAACCCUCAGCGGUGCCACUACCUUGCUCUUCCCGGUGCCAGUCUCCCUGCCUGGAGCAGCUCCCCAGACCUCGUUCUGGGACUGAAGGUGAACCCUGCCCACUGCCUCUUCCCACCAUCCGGCCCCUCAGCGCCCGGCCUCCGGGCAUCGAUGAGUUUCAUAUGAAGUACUGUGCCCUGCCCUGCCCUGCCCUGCCCCCCACCCCUGAGCUUCCUGAAGGUCCUCACAGUUUGCAUAUCGCUCAGGCCACCUCCAAACCCAACCUAGGUUUUAUAAUGUAUAUUAUAUAUAUUUUUGUGUAUUUUUUAAAUCCAGCUGUGAUGGGUUAUAUCAUAAACGUGGCACAGGGCUGGGGCAGGCGCCCUCAAGGCCUACUCAGAAAGAGAAAUUAAAGUUAUUUGUUUGUGGGUUA